CCCUGUUUUCAAAAGUGACUGGGGCUGCCAUGCCCCAGUCAUUGACACUACAUGGAGAGGCUGCUGGAGACUGUCCAUGUGUUUGGAAGGUUGCUUCCGGCCUUCCCAAACUCUGGUGCUUUUAACU